UACUUCCAGGCAUACAGUAAUAAUGCAAUAAUUUUAUAACAUUUCUCAGUGCUCAUCGAGAUUAUAGUACUCUUAAUCCCCUUAAUCCAUUUCACCCACCCACCCUCACCUCCCUCUGGCAACUACUAGUUUGUUCUCUGCAUUUAAGAGUCUUUGUCUCUUUUGUUUGUUUUGUUUCAAAUUCCACAUAUGAGUGAAAUCGUAUGACAUUCAUCUUUCUCUAUCCAACUUAUUUCAUUUAGCAUCAUAUCCUCUAGGUCCAUCCAUGUUGUUACAAAUGGCAAGAUUCCGUUCUUUUUUUAUGACUGAAUAAGAUUCUAUUGUGGAUAUACCACAUCUCCUUCAUCCAUUCACCUGUAGAUGGACACUUGAGUUGCUUCCUUAUCUUGUCAGCCUGUUGACUUCUGACUUUUGGCUUCCAGAACUGUUAGGUAUCCUAGAAGUGGGAAGUGGACCAUAAAUAUAUAGAUAUGUUUUUGAUAGGAAGACCUUGAGGAGGUACUUUUCACAACAACCAUCCCCGUGACAGGAAGAUGUAUCUCCUGAUAUUACUUGUCUUCCUUAGUAGACUGAUACAUUUAUAUCAGCUUCUGAAUGCGUUAUAAUCUGGAUGAACGAAAAAGCAAAAUUCAAAACUGUGAUGUCUCAGCGUCCCCCCACACUUGUUUUCCCUAGGCCAGAGGUGGAGGAGAAAGAGCCACUGAGAAACUUUCAUGCUGGGCUAGAAAAAUAAUGGGUAGGAAUCAGCAUCAGGAGAACCAUAAAGGAGUCAAUUUACUUUUAGCUUCUUUUGAGUUUACUGUGUGUGGUGUUUGACUUAAGAUUUAUAAAAGCAACAAGUAGGAGGGAAAUGGAACUCUGCGAUCCUGUCGGUAGGAGGACAGACAAUGAGCGGCUCUGGGUUCCAACAGCAAAUCAAAGGGAGAGAACAAGGAUGUGGAUAUUUCCUCCUGUGCCUUUUAGAAAAGGAAGCUCCAGCACAAUGAAGCCCUGUUAGUUUCCUUUGGGAAGAGCUGGCUGGCUGCUGAGAAAGAAAAGCUCUACUUGCCAGAUGCUUUAUUCCCUAAGAAAAGAGAAACAGAGGGAGGCAGAUACACCUGAGUAGUCUGCUUCAGAGAGUAAAUAAAAAUUAAAGGAAGGAAUUACAAAAAAAAGAGAGGGAUUCAAAUAGGAAAGGGGAGGGGGGGCAAGACCUUAGCAAAAAUAGAGGUUUGAGGGUAGGUAACCAUCAUCUCAAAAUGAAGAGUUGUCACAAAGGCUGGAAGAAAGGUAAAUGGAGAACUCCAGAGUAGGGGAAAAAAAUCUUAAAAAUAGCAGGUAGGAGGAAGCACAGCUCUCCUUUUAUAAACAGAGGUUUUUAAAUUUGAAAGUCAGUCUUUGAGAGUACUUCUGGUUGCACAAAGAGAAGUGAAGCUGGAACUGGAGCAUUAAUUGAUGCUGUGACAAGGUCACUACUGGAGCGGGUAGUUACUAGAAUGAAUGCAUAUAUACCGGGAGAAAUGUUGGUAAAUUGUACAAACAAAAUGAGAGAAAAAAAAACGAAAAGUAUUUGACUACGGUCUUCUUAAGGUUUCUAGAAGAGGAGCCUGAGUACCUGGAGUUUUAUAUAAGCAUGUAAUGUGUUACUGUAUUGGAAAGGCACAUUUAAAAAGAGAAUUUCAAAAAAUAAAAAUAAAAUAAAAAGAGAAUUUCUUCGUGUUCUAAGUGAGUUGAUUUGAUCAGCCCAGGGUUAACAGCUGACACAAAAUUCCUGGAGACCUAUCUGUGGACAGAUGGAACCUCUGUAUUGUUCUACAUGUUUUUAUUGUAGCAUUUUUUUUUUCUCUCUCAUAGGAGAGGAAACUAGAUCUCUCAUGGAAGAUAAAGUAGCAGUGAUGUGUUAAUAAAUAGAUUUAAAGGCUCAGUAAAAUAAUUAACAAACUCAACAGAAAAAAAAAUCUGAUUUGUUCAGUGAUUUUGAAGCUACUCAAAUAAUUCAAAAAUUUUGAGAGGAAAAAAUGAAAAAGAGGGAAAAACCCGUGUGUUUGGUUCUGUUGCAGAACCAGCUUUGA